AUUGAACGCUGGCGGCAGGCUUAACACAUGCAAGUCGAGCGGAGAUGAGGUGCUUGCACCUUAUCUUAGCGGCGGACGGGUGAGUAAUGCUUAGGAAUCUGCCUAUUAGUGGGGGACAACAUUCCGAAAGGAAUGCUAAUACCGCAUACGUCCUACGGGAGAAAGCGGGGGAUCUUCGGACCUUGCGCUAAUAGAUGAGCCUAAGUCGGAUUAGCUAGUUGGUGGGGUAAAGGCCUACCAAGGCGACGAUCUGUAGCGGGUCUGAGAGGAUGAUCAGCGACACUGGGAAUGAGACACGGCCCAGACUCCUACGGGAGGCAGCAGUGGGGAAUAUUGGACAAUGGGGGGAACGCUGAUCCAGCCAUGCCGCGUGUGUGAAGAAGGCCUUAUGGUUGUAAAGCACUUUAAGCGAGGAGGAGGCUACUGAGACUAAUACUCUUGGAUAGUGGACGUUACUCGCAGAAUAAGCACCGGCUAACUCUGUGCCAGCCGCCGCCGUAA
rnacentral:rRNA from 1 species